UACGUAGGGUCCGAGCGUUGUCCGGAAUUACUGGGCGUAAAGAGCUCGUAGGUGGUUUGUCGCGUUGUUCGUGAAAACUCACAACUCAAUUGUGGGCGUGCGGGCGAUACGGGCAGACUGGAGUACUGCAGGGGAGACUGGAAUUCCUGGUGUAGCGGUGGAAUGCGCAGAUAUCAGGAGGAACACCGGUGGCGAAGGCGGGUCUCUGGGCAGUAACUGACGCUGAGGAGCGAAAGCGUGGGGAGCGAACAGG
rnacentral:ncRNA from 2 species